AGAGUUUGAUCAUGGCUCAGGAUAAACGCUGGCGGCGCACAUAAGACAUGCAAGUCGAACGAACUUAACCAUUAGUUUACUAUUGGAGCGGUUAGUGGCGGACUGGUGAGUAACACGUAAGCAACCUGCCUAUCAGAAGGGGAACAACAGUUAGAAAUGACUGCUAAUACCGCAUAUGCCUUAGAAUCACAUGGUUCAAAAGGGAAAGGAGCAAUCCGCUGAUAGAUGGGCUUGCGUCUGAUUAGCUAGUUGGUGGGGUAACGGCCUACCAAGGCGACGAUCAGUAGCCGAACUGAGAGGUUGAACGGCCACAUUGGGACUGAGAUACGGCCCAGACUCCGUACGGGAGGCA
rnacentral:rRNA from 1 species